AACUUGCAGAAGUUGGAAAAAGCAUGAAGACCCAGCCCAGGAAAUAACCUUUGCAUACAAGCUUGCUAUGGCAUUGUUCAAGUACCUACUGGACCGUGGUUUUGUAGGAAAUGUGAAUCUCAGGAGAGAGCAGCCAGAGUGAGAUGUGAGCUGUGUCCCCAUAAAGAUGGAGCUUUAAAAAGAACAGAUAAUGGGGGUAAGUACAGUCUUUGAAAAAAUACUGAAAACUGGAAUGGAAUAGCAUUUCAAACUAUUUGGUAGUUAAUAUUAUUUUAUUAAACAUUGUUUGCUGAAUUGUUAAUAAUGUAAUUAAUUAAUUAAUUGGAGACAAGGUUUCAUUAUGUGAUCCAGGCUAACCUGAACUCACCAUCUUCUUGCUUCAUUGUUUCAUGUUCAGGGAUUGUAGAUGUGCACAUGUAUGUGUAGUUUAAAUAAUUUUCUGAAUUCACAGUUUGUCUUUAUUGUGUGCAAACUGAAGUAUUGGCUAUUUUAUGUUUUGAGACAGGGUGUCACUAUAUAGUCCUGGAACUCACUAUAUAAACCAGGCUAGCCUCCAAACUCAGAGAGAUCUUUCUCUUCUUCCUGAGUGAGUGCUGGAAUUAAGGUGUGAGCCACCAUACCUGCUUUGAUUUUGUUGUUGCUUUUUUGAGAUAGGGCCCCACUAGGUGCUAGGGUUACAGGACCAACCUUACCUGGCAACGGAUCCUUACUACUAUGUUCCUCCUAAGUGCUAGCUUACAGUACCAACUAUACUUGGCAGGGUCUGUUCUUUCCUGAGGAUUCUGAGCAUUUCCUCUUCUGAAAAUCCUGAAUCUGAAAUAUUAACACCUAACACCUUUGGAACACUAGUUUCAGAUUUUGAGUUUUUGGAUUAGUGAUGCUUAGAUGGUAAAGUCACUGUAAAUGUUCAGAAAAACAUCUUCUUGUUCCAAUCAUUUUAGAUGAGGAUUGCCCCAUUUUUAGUUUUCAUCUUCACUUUGAGUUAUCUUUCCUUGAUAAAUGUAUCUAUUUCUCUCUCCCCUGCCUUUCUUCUGUCUGUUUUUGUUUUGGUCCUUUCCUCUCUAGUCCUUUCUUUCUUUUCUUGUGUAUAGCUCAGGGCUUAGCAUUUUCUAUGUAGCGCAGCCUGGCCUAAAUGGGUGUCAGUUUCCUAUCACUGCCUAAUGAGUUGUAGGAUUACAGCACUGUUAAUCCAUGGCUGGACUCAGGUGCUUACCUUUACUUACCCUUUGUAUGUCAGUAUCAUUCCUACCAUAUAGGCAUGAGCUUGUUAAACUAUACAACUUAAGUGCCUGAUAAGGUAGCAAGAAAGAGAGAUUCCCUCCCUCCCUCCCUCCUGUUAAGAUGGUCAUAAAGUAUUUCUUAUUUUGUUGGGAAUCACACUGGUUUAUUUUUGAAAGUAAAAUUAGCCUCUUUUCCUAAAAUAAUGAGAUUCAUUUUGUUAACAUUUUGUUGAAGAUACUGAUUUCUGCAGGAUAAAUGAAUAAAGAAAUUGGCACCCGUUCAUAAGGGAUUAAAACAGCGACUUCCCUUUUUAUAUUGUUUUUAGCUUUUGGCAUUAGUGUUAUGUUGGCAUUUUAACAAAUUGGGAAAUACUCUUUUUUCUGGCGGUAUUUCGGUAAAACUGGAAUUUCAUAAUCUUUAAAUACUUGGUAGGAAUAACAAAUACAUCCUGAAUUUCUUUUCUUUUUUCUUUUUUUAAAGAUUUAUUUAUUUACUUAUUAUAUGUGAGUACACUGUAGCUGUUUUCAGACACCCCAGAAGUGGGUGUCAGAUCUUAUUACAGAUGGUUGUGAGCCACCAUGUGCUUGCUGGGAUUUGAACUCAGGACCUUUGGGAGAGCAAUUGAUGCUCUUAACCACUGAGCCAUCUCUCCAGCCCCCAUCUUGAAUUUCUUAAGGUUAUCAAUUUGAAUAAUUGAUUUUAGUGAUUAAAUAAUUUAAACAUUUCUAUUGUUUGUUAGUUUGUUUCAUUUGUAACCUUUGGCCAUUUAUUGAUUUCCCUAGCUUUAAAACUAUUGGUAAAAGUUGAUUAUUUAACUGUUUACAUGUGGUCAUAAACUGCUUAAAUUCUGAGAAAUGUGUCAUUGGUGCUUUUCUUAUUGAGUAAACAUCAUAGAGCGAGUGUAUUUACACAAAUCUAGACACAUGCUCUACUGCAUACAUAAAUUAUAUGAUGUAGCUUAUUGCCUCUAGGUUACAAAUACACAUCAUAUUGCUAUACUACUGGAUAAUGUAAAUACAACAUAGUGGUAAGUUGUUAAAAAUCUAAGGCAAGAAAAGAUAUAACAACUGUCAGUACAGGGUACUUGGUGAAGUUUGGCAGACUUGAAGUUGUCUUUGGUGAGUAACUGAAGUCAGUGGUGGGAGUGUGAAGAUCUAAGACAGGAAGAAGGUAGUCUGGUUCUGGUUUUUCAUGACAGGGCUGGUUUCUCUGUGCAGCCCUGGCUGUCCUGGAACUCCUUCUGUAGGCCAGCUGGCCCUGAGCUCAGAGAUCUGCCUGCCUGCCUUUGCCUCCCAAGUGAUGGCUUUAAAGGUACUUGCCACUACCACCACCAGGGUAAAAGGUCUUUUUUGUGUCUUACUAUAUAUCCCUGGUUGACCUGGAAUUCUGUAUAUACCAGGUUUACCUAAAACUGAGAGAUCCUCCUGCCUCAUUCUAAGUGCUAGCAUUGAAGUUCUGUGGCACCUCCUAUCCUAUCCUCUUCUCUUUCUCUUUCUUAAACCUUUUAGGUUUUUUGUUAAAAACUUAGAAACAACACAAGAUUAGCUUUGUUCUCCAUAAGUUCAGGGGUGUCAUUGUCAGUAUAUCUUCCCUUCAUGUACCAUCUCGUUGAAAGGUCUUCAGGGCAGACAUAUUCAUGGACUGAGAAUGUAGCUUUUUAAUGAGCACUUGCCUAGCAUGAGUGAGGAACCGAAUUCAAUCUUUAGUACUGCAACAAACAAAAGAAAACAAAACAAAACAGAACAAACCCUAAAACACAAGAAACCGCUGCUACCAGUGAAAGAAACAUGGAGCUGUUAGGACUUGUAGUAACAGUGCCUUUUAGAAUACCUUCUUAAGUACUUGGUUGAAUGUAUAGGUAACAUAUUUGGUUUUUAAAAGCAAAUAGAAGGCAUAAAAAUAAAAAAAAAACAAAACAAAACCAUAGAACACACAUUAGCCAGUAGCAUAAUUUUUUUUAUUAUUAGUAAAUAUUGCUAUAUACACACAUUGUUGCAUGUGGGUAGUAUAUUGAAUGCUAGCAUAGUAAGUUUGUUUAGACCAGCAUUACUAUAAACAUGUUAAUAAUGUAGUGCACAGGGACUUGUAAUGGCUAGAAAAAUUUGUCUUUCUAAUAAUCUUAUGGGAACAUGGUUGUAUAUAUGGAGUGUCUGUCAUUUAUCAAAAUGUCAGACUGUUAUCUCUGACUGUAUUGUCAACUGAAAAUACAGUUAGUAGUCUUUCUUCCUCCUCCUCCUCCUC
rnacentral:lncRNA from 1 species